CAGAGCUGUGGAGUGUGACAAUGGUGUUUGUUUCCUGCCUAUCAAACGCCAUUAUCACACUAAAUAGCUACAGU
rnacentral:pre_miRNA from 12 species